rnacentral:rRNA from 1 species
AUUGAACGCUGGCGGAAUGCUUUACACAUGCAAGUCGAACGGCAGCACGGACUUCGGUCUGGUGGCGAGUGGCGAACGGGUGAGUAAUAUAUCGGAACGUGCCCAGUCGUGGGGGAUAACGUAGUGAAAAUUACGCUAAUACCGCAUACGAUCUAUGAAUGAAAGCGGGGGAUCGCAAGACCUCGCGCGAUUGGAGCGGCCGAUAUCAGAUUAGGUAGUUGGUGAGGUAAAGGCUCACCAAGCCGACGAUCUGUAGCUGGUCUGAGAGGACGACCAGCCACACUGGAACUGAGACACGGUCCAGACUCCUACGGGAGGCAGCAGUGGGGAAUUUUGGACAAUGGACGCAAGUCUGAUCCAGCCAUUCCGCGUGCAGGACGAAGGCCUUCGGGUUGUAAACUGCUUUUGUACAGAACGAAAAGGUCUCUAUUAAUACUAGGGGCUCAUGACGGUACUGUAAGAAUAAGCACCGGCUAACUACGUGCCAGCCGCCGCGGUAA